UCGCGGGCAUCCGCGUCCUUGAUGGGCCGUAUGUGGCGGGAAGAAGGCUCGGGUGUAGAGUGCGAGCGGAGCACGGGAGUGUGCGGGGAGAAGCCGCAUGCGGACGGCCGGAGGGCGCGCGACCUUUUCAGCUAUGGAAUUCUGUCUCAUACAUGGCUUUGUGCACUUGGCCUCCAUCCCAUCUUUCCAGUGGGGCAGUCAGCAUGGCCUGUCCCUGCUCACCAGUGGACUGGAUUUCAGUUCAUCAUCAAACACCACAGUCCCAUUCUUCUAAUGGCUUUGAAAGAAAGGAAACAAACAAUACUUAUCAUGCACAGGAUGAAAACAUGGCCACAGAGCAAGACAUAUGCUCACCAGCUCUGGCGGUCUAUGCUGCAGAAAUUCCCUGGCCAGGUGAUAGGGUUUCAUGUGUGAGAGGACACAAUGCUGUGGAGGGAAACUUCCCAAAAAGACUCUGUUUGGAGGCACAGCUCCCAGAAGUUCUGUUGAGGAUGAUGAAAUGAGAGGAGAAAAGAGCCAUACAUCUCAUGGAGCAUUCUGAAAGCCUUCUAAGGAAAACACCCAUUUUUUGGGGAGAGUUAUGCCUGAGAACAUGGCUAGCCUGGUAUGAUUUACCAGAGAUUCUGCGAGUUUCCAGGUGGGCUAAAUGGACCCACUAACCAGUAGAGUGGUGCAUGCAGUAUGGACCUUCUUACUGUGAGGACAUUACAGACACAAAUUUCUAUGGGCCCAGAUUGUUGGAAUUGUAGGAAACAAAGCUGUGAGGUCAAGCAAUGUUCUAUAGUUGACCAUGGGCAAAGAAAGGAAUGGGUAUAGCUCUGCUCCCGAUGUCAAGUCACCUUUCUCUGAAGGGGAAGCCAGAGGUCCAGUUCAUUUGGGUAGAAGCCAGAGAAACAUGCAGUCAGACAUGUGGAAAUCCUCACAUGGAUGGAAGAUCCUAAGGAAAGGCAGGGGUCAUCCAGCAUGGUAGGUAGAGACGUGAUGUUGAAGGUAAAGAUCAGCGAUGGCGAGGAAAAGCCAGGCUCCCCAGAGAGCCACUGGUCCUUACACACGCAGGGCAGUAACGUGGAUGAAGCAGUCCAGUUCUGCUCCACGGUGACUGAUGAGCAAAGCCCAGUGCUUUGUGGUCCUGUUUGGAGGUCUGAGGUAGACAGGGGUCACAGAACUCUUUGAGCAUGAAGCUGAUGCUGAGGUGUGCAGUCCCUUGGAAGUGACCAGUCCAGAAGGAGCAGCUGUUGGGGGCAAUAUUCUCAGACAACUGUCUACAGAUGUGAGAUGUUGUUUGGUGAUACAGUUGAUGAAGCCCUUCAGUGUGAUGUGGGCUGUUCUGAAAGACCCCAUACUAUGUGCCAUGAGCCUUGAGGUUGUGAUUGACUUUCUGAGGAGGAGGAUGAGGAGACUGAAGCUCACAGCAAGUCUGAACAAUCAUGUGAAGUCCAUAAAGAGGUCCCAUGUGAACUGAGCCACACUGAGAAGUCACACCUGACAGGUCAUGUGUCUCCUGUGUGUGACUGUCCGACAGAGCCUCGAAGCACAGAGAAAAGUCAAUGGAGAAGUCCAGUGUGAUCUUCCCCAGAAAGGGCUUCGAGUUGCAGGUCAGUGUUCUGCACUCCAUAAAGAGCCAAUGUCAGACAGGCCAGCCACUGUGCAGAUAGCAACAAGGAAAAGGGGCUCAGAGGAGGUCAGGAGUAGGGUGCACUGCACAGGUGAAGAAAUGGAGAUGAGGUAGAGCAUUUUCAAGAAGUCAGAGGGUGAUUGUGCACAAGGGCAGGCUUUAUCGAGAGGUGGGCAGGGUGAUAAGCGGGGAGAUGGAGCACUCUCUCCCUCCCCAGGUGUCAGGCGGUCAUGCUGUGACAAGGAGCAAGCUGGAGUGGGGCACAAAUGCCAGCACUGCUCUGGCCUCCAGAGUAAAGGGGAAGGAGGGCUGGCUGUGCAGGCACAUGUGGCAGGUUCCAGAAGAAACCGACCAUGGCCAAGCAGAAUGACCUGAAGUCCACAAUCCACAAAGCAACUUAGUGUGAUGAGAGCUCUUCUGAGCUUCCACCCCCUGACAAGAUGUGAGCCUCGUGGUACCGAUCUGGAGCCUGAUGUGGACCCUGAGCUGUGCCCAGGGGAUGAUGAUUCUGAUGUACAGAGCAAGUAAGAACUGACACGUGCUGGAGGCCCUCGUGGAUCACUUGAAUGUAUGUAACUAGUAUUUUCUUGUGGAAGUGCCUCUUAGAGCCUGGAAGCAAAGCUAGCUGAUGACAUAGCCUUUAACUUAGCAGUACAGGGCACAGCUGUCCCUGUCUGUGGCGCUCCCAUACAGCAUCCCGUGUUGGUUCUGCCUCCCAAGGCAUUGCAGUGUGCUGCCAGACUGUGUGAAGGAGAUGCUGAUCCACAGCCACCUACCGUGCGUGAGCAUUUUCAGUCAGGGAUUCUGAGAAUGAAAUCUGGGUCACAUGAAACUCACUAAACUUACAGGUCCUUCCCUGCAGUGCCCCUAAAGCAUAUUGUGGCAAGGCCCUUCAUGUUUCUCAUGAGACUGGGACUAAAGAUCACUUGAGAAUCAUUCUCUACUAUCUUGAAUCAUAAUAUAUUUUAGGAAAUGUUUGCUUUGCCAUUACUUCCUAGUGUGACCUGGCAAAUGGAAGUGUUGUCUAAGGCAUUUUCCUUCUGAAGUGACCACUCUGUUAUGCAACAAGCAAGUGAAGAAAUGGACAACAGGGUGCCCCCUGCAAAUGGAAGAGUUGACCAAGACAUUUUCCUUCUGAAGUGACAACUCCGGUAUGCAACAAGCAAGUGAA